rnacentral:rRNA from 1 species
AGGGUUCGAUUCUGGCUCAGGAUGAACGCUGGCGGCGUGCUUAACACAUGCAAGUCGAACGGAGUUUUUAACCGAAGUUUCGGAUGGAAGUUAGAACUUAGUGGCGGACGGGUGAGUAACGCGUGGGUAACCUGCCUCAUACAGGGGGAUAACAGUUAGAAAUGACUGCUAACACCGCAUAAUAUAGCGAAACCGCAUGAUUUUGCUAUCAAAUAUUUAUAGGUAUGAGAUGGGCCCGCGUCUGAUUAGCUAGUUGGUGGGGUAAAAGCCUACCAAGGCGACGAUCAGUAGCCGGCUUGAGAGAGUGACCGGCCACAUUGGGACUGAGACACGGCCCAAACUCCUACGGGAGGCAGCAGUGGGGAAUAUUGGACAAUGGGGGAAACCCUGAUCCAGCGAACCGCCGCGUGAGUGAAGAAGUAUUUCGGUAUGUAAAGCUCUAUCAGCAGGGAAGAUAAUGACAGUACCUGACUAAGAAGCCCCGGCUAACUACGUGCCAGCAGCGGC